UAGAGAAUCUUCGGCAAUGGACGAAAGUCUGACCGAGCGACGCCGCGUGCGGGAUGACGGCCUUCGGGUUGUAAACCUCUUUCAGCAGGGAAGAAGCGCAAGUGACGGUACCUGCAGAAGAAGCACCGGCUAACUACGUG
rnacentral:rRNA from 1 species